rnacentral:lncRNA from 1 species
GCCGGUUGGUACCUGCUGCACAUGGGAUGACAGCGAAUGGGCCAGGUGGUACAUGCUGGCUUAUACCAAUCAAUUCAAUCCCCUGGGAGGAGCAGCAGGUACCACCUUCACCAAUCGUCCAACCUCACCCUGGUAAAGGCACAUUCAGUGGUCUGAUUGCAACCUCCUCCUGGCAGGAAACGAAUGGAGUACUUAACCCAGAGCCAUUCUGGACAGGAUACCAGGCCAAGUGUGGGUGGAAGGCAAGCAUAUCCACACGUGAGUACACAAGCAGAAUUGAGGGAACACCAGUUAACCAAUCCCGCACCCCUUUUGAAAUAUCAGGAAAGUGGAGCAGCUGGGGAGAACACACACAGACUUGGGGACAGGCAUCCCCCCUGCAGAGACCACCCCCUUCCAGAGCUGAUCACGCAUGGACCAUAAGGAACAUGCAGUGCAAUUCUGUGCUAAAUCAAUCAAAAUGAAUAAAACCUUGGAUUGUAAAAUGUAGGGAUUUGCCAUGUACCACUAAUACCAAAAUAAUUAAUUCUUCCAUAUUACAGAAUGAAAAGGGUUGUACUAGCCUACUCUUAAUAGUCAUCUCUAUAUUUAUUAAGCAACCACAUUUGACUUGGAAUGCGUUAAAAGACCGGAAGAUUAAAAAUGAAUAAAUUAAAACAAUGUGCCAAUU